CCUACGGGAGGCAGCAGUGAGGAAUAUUGGUCAAUGGACGAGAGUCUGAACCAGCGAAGUAGCGUGCAGGAUGACUGCCCUAUGGGUUGUAAACUUCGUUUAUAGGGAAAUAAAAUGGUCCACGUGUGGGAUUUUGUAUGUACCAUAUGAAUAAGGAUCGGGUAACUCCGUGCCAGCAGCCGCGGUAAUGCAGUGGAUCCGACCGUUAUCCGGAUUGUUUGGGUUUAAAGGGAUUGUAGGUGGCUUGUUAAGUCAGUUGUGAAUGUUUGCGGCUCAACCGUAAAAUUGCAGUUGAGACUGGCAGUCUUGAGUUAAGUAGAGGUGGGCGGAAUUCGUGGUGUAGCGGUGAAAUGCUUAGAUAUCACGAAGAACACCGAUUGCGAAGGCAGCUCACUGGACUGCUACUGACACUGAGGGUCGAAAGUGUGGGUAUCAAACAGGAUUAGAUACCCCUGUAGUC
rnacentral:rRNA from 1 species